UACGGAGGGUGCAAGCGUUAAUCGGAAUUACUGGGCGUAAAGCGCACGCAGGCGGUCUGUCAAGUCGGAUGUGAAAUCCCCGGGCUCAACCUGGGAACUGCAUUCGAAACUGGCAGACUAGAGUCUUGUAGAGGGGGGUAGAAUUCCAGGUGUAGCGGUGAAAUGCGUAGAGAUCUGGAGGAAUACCGGUGGCGAAGGCGGCCCCCUGGACAACACCUGACACUGAGGCACGAAAGCUAGGGGAGCAAACAGG
rnacentral:rRNA from 1 species